rnacentral:rRNA from 1 species
UACAGAGGGGGCAAGCGUUGUUCGGAAUUACUGGGCGUAAAGGGCGCGUAGGCGGCCUUCUAAGUCGAACGUGAAAUCCCCGGGCUCAACCCGGGAACUGCAUCCGAUACUGCCGUGCUUGAGGGUUGGAGAGGUAGCUGGAAUUCUCGGUGUAGCAGUGAAAUGCGUGGAUAUCGAGAGGAACACUCGUGGCGAAGGCAGCUCGCUGGGACGGUACUGACGCUGAGACGCGAAAGCGUGGGGAGCAAACAGG